UACAUAUGGGGCAAGCGUUGUUCGGAAUUACUGGGCAUAAAGGGUGCGUAGGCGGCUUGUUAAGUCAGGGGUGAAAUCCCACGGCCCAACCGUGGAACUGCCUUUGAUACUGGCGAGCUUGAGUGCGUGAGGGGUAACCGGAACGAGUAGUGUAGCGGUGAAAUGCGUAGAUAUUACUCGGAAGGCCAAAGGCGAAGGCAGGUUACUGGUACGCAACUGACGCUGAUGCACGAAAGCGUGGGGAGCAAACAGG
rnacentral:rRNA from 1 species